GCUGGGCAUGGUGGCAUAUGCCUAUAAACCCAGCUACUUGGGAAGCUGAGACAGGAGAAUUGCAUGUUUGAGGCCAGCUUCAGUAUCAGAGACCCUGUCUCAAGAAAUAAAACAGGAGCCGGGUUUGGAGAUGGCAGGCCUGUAAUCCCAGUGGCUCAGCUAAAGCAGGAGAAUUGCAAAUUCAAAGCCAGCCUCAGCAACUUAGUGAGGCCCUAAGCAAUUCAGCAAGACCCUGUCUCUA
rnacentral:sRNA from 1 species